rnacentral:rRNA from 1 species
CCAGACUCCUACGGGAGGCAGCAGUGGGGAAUAUUGCACAAUGGGGGAAACCCUGAUGCAGCGACGCCGCGUGAGUGAAGAAGUAUUUCGGUAUGUAAAGCUCUAUCAGCAGGGAAGAUAAUGACGGUACCUGACUAAGAAGCCCCGGCUAACUACGUGCCAGCAGCCGCGGUAAUACGUAGGGGGCAAGCGUUAUCCGGAUUUACUGGGUGUAAAGGGUGCGUAGGUGGCAGGGCAAGUCAGAUGUGAAAGCCCGGGGCUCAACCCCGGUACUGCAUUUGAAACUGUCCAGCUGGAGUGCAGGAGAGGUAAGCGGAAUUCCUAGUGUAGCGGUGAAAUGCGUAGAUAUUAGGAGGAACACCAGUGGCGAAGGCGGCUUACUGGACUGUAACUGACACUGAGGCACGAAAGCGUGGGGAGCAAACAGGAUUAGAUACCCUCGUA